ACGGGUGAGUAGAGCAUCGGAACGUGCCCUGUUGAGGGGGAUAGCUCGGCGAAAGCCGGAUUAAUACCGCAUAAGCCCUGAGGGGGAAAGCUGGGGAUCUGAGAAGACCUGGCGCGAGAGGAGCGGCCGAUGUCCGAUUAGCUAGUUGGUGGGGUAAAGGCCUACCAAGGCUGCGAUCGGUAGCGGGUCUGAGAGGACGGCCCGCCACACUGGGACUGAGAGACGGCCCAGACUCCUACGGGAGGCAGCAGUGGGGAAUCUUGGACAAUGGGGGCAACCCUGAUCCAGCGAUGCCGCGUGAGUGAAGAAGGCCUUCGGGUUGUAAAGCUCUUUUGUUCGGGAAGAAAGACCAUCUAUGAAUAGUGGGUGGGGAUGACGGUACUGGACGAAUAAGCACCGGCUAACUACGUGCCAGCAGCCGCGGUAAUACGUAGGGUGCAAGCGUUAAUCGGAAUGACUGGGCGUAAAGCGUGCGUAGGUGGUGUUGUAAGACAGGCGUGAAAUGCCCGGGCUUAACCUGGGGAUGGCGUUUGUGACUGCAAUGCUAGAGUGAGUCAGAGGGGGGUAGAAUUCCACAUGUAGCAGU
rnacentral:rRNA from 1 species